rnacentral:lncRNA from 1 species
CCCAGCCGCAACGCCUCUAGCAGGUGGGUAGCAACGGCCUCCACCGCUGCGUCCUGCGUCGCCAUGGAGACGCGGCCGGCCCCGCCUCCCUCCCGGCCGGAAAGAUGGGGAGCUGGGACUGGCAAGGCGGACGGCGCGGGAGGAGCCACUGGCAGCCUUUGCGUACUGUCAUAGCAACGGGAAGGGCGCCUCGACCAAUCACCGCCCGGGAAUAGAGAGAGGCGGGGCGGAAGGGACGAGGUGGAGCCAGUGGCAGCACUGGGGUGCAGUCAUAGCAACGAGGGGCCGCCUUGGCCAAUCACUGCUCGGGAAGGGAGGGGGGCGGGGACUGGGCAGGGCCUGGGCGGGUUCCGUGCCUGGCUGCCCACCGGGUCUCUGACCUGGACCUCGCUGUCGCUGGCCCCUGAAAUCCAUCACUUUAGUCGGCUGUUCUGUGACGCCGCAACAAGGAGCCACCUGGGUACUGGGCCUUCAAGAGGAGGGACGCGGGAAGCGCGUCCGGGCCAACUCUCGAGUGGGUUUCACCCCUGCCCAGUGCGGGCACUGCACGCUCCCUUCCGUCCCCGGGCCUCGCAGGCCCCUCCGGGGGUGCUGCCCAUCCCCACUUACUUUCUAGGCUCUUCGGACCCUUCGGGGUUCGCGGAUCGCAGAGAUGUGUCCGCCAAGAUCUCUUCUUUGGUCCGUAAACAACUUCACUCUCAAGGAGGCAGCUCUGGCCUCUCAGCAGGAGCUGGGGAGGAGUGACUGAAUAACCACAGGAUUUAGUCUUGAUGGCAGAAUCCCAGAAGCCAAAUCCACGUGGUGAAUAAGCUGCUGAUCUUUCAGAGCACACAUCCCCUGGAGAAUCUUCCCAAUGCUAAUAUGAAAGUUUACAACCAUAACCCAUCAUCAGGCCCAAAUAUAUUACUUACUGAAUAAAUACACAAGUUACAAGCAACACACAAGAAUCCAAAAUUAUGUCGUUUUUUAGUUGCAAAGAUAAAAAUGUUGUAAACACCAAAAUUUAACAGCUUUUCUUAUGGGGAAAAGUGGGGAGUUGGGGAUAAUAAAUGAUUAUUAUUUUCUUCUCUACAUAUUGGCAAAGUUACUACAAUUGAGCAUGUCUUAUUUUUAUAAUAAAAUGCCAAAAGUAUUUUAAAUGUUAAAAAUGUAGAAUGGUAACAUAAUCAAGUAUAUGCAAAUAAAUAGUCAUUUUUUACAUUUAAAAUGUCAGAAAUUCAACUUUCAAAUUUGUCCUAACAAUGACAGUAACCAAUGUUUACUAAGUUCUGACACUGCAUGUGGGCGCUGUUUUAAGAAUUUUAUGAGUUAUCUUAUUAAAUCCUCACUAUCAUUUCUCCAUUGUAAAUCUAAGGAAAGGGAGUUAUAGAGGGGUAUAAACUAAAAAUAACCUCCUAAGCCCCACUACAGCCAACUGAAUGGACCCCCUCUUGACCAAGGGGACCCCAGAAACCUUAAAAACUGAGUUAUCAGCCAUGAUGGGAAGGGAGGUCAGAAAUGCCUCACUAAUACCCUUUUGCCGUUUAGACACAACAACUAACCAGCAUUAAUGUUAAACUAGAGAUCAUAAGACUGACAGAAUGGACUCUGUGGCAGUAAGAUACCAACUUAUAAACAGAACCUAAGGCCAUGCCAGGCAUGAGUUAAGUCAUGCACCCCUAUACUUAAAAGAAUAAACUAUAUUUUAACUACUUGGAAAAGGUCUUAUGAUUCAUGUUUCACAUUUUGCACUUGAGUAAAAAAUCUUACUGUGAAUCUCUCAAAUCUUAUCAUGAGUUCCUCAGACUGUUGAUGUACUAAUUAAUACGUAACGACUGACACUGAAAAGGAUACUGAUUUGUUUCUAAAUCAUGACAUUUCACUGAUUGUCUUGUGCAUACGCAGAAAACAUUUUAGCCUGUAUGUUGUUAUCCGUAGCCAUUGAUUGUAACCUCUAUAUCGUCCCUCCAAUGAAAAAAGACAACUCCAAUAUGAGGAGUCCCCUUCCCAUUCCUCAACUUUCUUAUAAAACCAUUGCAACUUGUAACAGACUUUGGAACACACUCAACUUUGUUGCUGUGCCUUCCCCAUUCAAUCUUCAAAUUUGACUUUCAAUAAGCCUUUAUCAAUUUCUGCCUCAACAGCCUUAACUUUGGCCCACAGCAGUUAAGAUCAUUGCCCAAGAUCAUACAGCCAGUGGGAUUCAAAUCGAGCCAUCAGACCCAAGAGCAACUGUUGCUCAUCACUAUACUGCCUCCCAGAUCUGUGAUAAAGAAAUAACUAGUUUUCUGGCAGUGACUGUAAAGCAUCUACCAAGCAGAGGACCACUGGUUCAAAUGCCUUGGAUUGCAAACACCAGGGAGUGGCUUAAGCAAACUACAUGGUUAAGCAAACCCUGCUCUGGAUCACAUCCUUAGCAACUAGACAUCUAGCUACAGCUAUUAAAUCCUAAGGUUUACAAUUUGAUCUCUAUCCCGUACAAAUUUGCCAGGGUCUUCCCUCCCAAAUCUUUCAAUCUAUAGUAAUUUCACUACACUGUAGGUUUAGCAAUUAUCCAAAUAAUUGACAAAGGCAAGAAGGGGUGAACAACAGGAUGGGCCUCCCAGCACCUCCUGCAGCAGCACCUGGACUGGAUUCUAAAUUCCUCUUUCCAGAAAGAAGCUGCACCCCAGCCCAGAUUCAGCUGAAAGCCACAGCUGCCAAGAGGCAGUCGGAGCGCUGGGCACCUCUCUGCGCACCCAGGAAACCCAAGGAGGACUUCAUCAAGCCAAGCGGAUGCCUCACUCAGAGCCCCAGGAUCCCUGACCCCUGACCCCACAGUGACCUGGAAAUGCCGGGUAAUGCCAGAAGCAGCGCUUUCCAAUUCUGAAGGCCCUCAAAAUGCUUGCUCAGCCCAUCUUCCUCCUUUCCUGGGGCGUGGGAGUGGUGGGAAGAUGAGAGGCAGAAAGACGAGGACAUCAUCAGAAGGUUUUUCCUUACUGGAAAAUGAGAGGAAAUCCUCUUCCACCGCUUAAAAAUCAAAAGGGGCUGCCCAUCUUCCUCUGGCAGGGGUCUCCCAUCAUCCCCCGCGAGGCCUUCCCAUUAUCCCCUGCGGGGCUUUCCCAUCAUCCACAGAGGCCCUUCCCAUAACCCCCAAGCGGGAAGUUCGUGCAAGUGCCGCUCUGCAGGGAGGAGUGAGGGCCUAGGGGAACGCCCUCAGGAGAGUGGAGGGCAGCAGUGGCCGCGGUUCCUCUGCACUUCGUUUCUUCAGUAAGAAAUGAUCUUCUUGUCCUUCUUACGUAGAAAUGGAGCGAUCCAUUUCCUUUUACCCAUUAACCCCUUCAAAAAGAAGAAAAACAGUCCCAGGCCGGCCAUGGUUGAUCUCUGCAGAGGGGCUGGUCAGGGUGCCUUCUGCUUCCUGGUGGGAUGGCCAAGGCCAGGGAAACUGUUGAAACCACCCUGGGGCUGCCUUCUGUAUUUUCCACAACCUUCCAGGCCCACCUCCCAGCUGGAGGCCCUGCAGCUUGGCAGUUGCCAUGGCGACUGAGUCCCUAAGAGUGUCUCUUCUGAGCUCUCCUGGACAGUGUGGAGAAAAGGCCUUAAGAACUGAGGGGCUUCGGUAAAAUGCAAACAGAUUUUUUUUGAAGUUUUGUAGGCACUGUUCAGAUAAAAAGCAGGGACUUUCAACAAAAUGAGUUCAGGCCUAUUUUAACUAUAGAACUAUGAGGUUGUUUAUUAGAAUAAUUGUACUCUGGUAAAUUUACCAAUUUCAUAUAUAUGCAUAUUAAUAAACAAAUAUAUUAGCGUAUAUAGAUAGAAAAAGUUCUAUCUACAUGUACAAUUGAAAACUUUUUAAAACAGUGUUAGUAGUAUCACAUAUUAGCAUUUAGAGGAUAGAGACAGACCCGGGAUUGGAGCCCUAGCUCCAUAUACUUCUUUCUGAAGUCAGUCUACUCAUAUGUAAAAUGGGCUGUUGUGAGGUCAAAAUUAGAUAUUCAUAAUGAGAGUAGCACAGUGCCUAGCACACAGUAAAGCACUUAGUAAAUGGGAGCUAUUACUAUUAAUUGUACUGUUGUUAAUCUUAUAAUAGGUUAAGCACCUUUUGGCUAUCAGUAUGUUUGGGGGAGAAUUUUAACUCGUUUGUCUUAAUCGUUUUCAGUAGAGGUUUUUUCUUGAAAAGAAUCAAACUGCCAAAGAUGAUUCAGUCAGAUAGUUGUUUGUGACAAUCAGAAGUUAGUCUGUGAUGAACAGUUUAGUUUUAAUGCUCAUGUUCAUUAGCACUAAUAUACAUAAGGGUGGGGAGAGACUGAAGCUUCUGGAUAUAUAUAGACAGGUAGAUUCUUAAGUGUAAGUAGGUAUUUGAACUGUUUGUGGAUUAUGUCUCAUAAAGUUGGCACCCAGCAAGGAGGAAAAUGCCAGAUACACACACGCCCAUUCCUGAGGUAUGUAGGUCAGUGGAAGGCUAUUGAAACACAGCUGUCAAGAGAGAAAUGUAAAUUAUUUUUCACCCAGGAAGUGAGAUUAUUCCAUAAUGUAUCAUAACCAGUAGGGGAAAUAGUUUAGUGGACACCUGUGUGGAGACAAGAGAUGUCAGAAAAUUGGAUAGACUCAAAUUUCACGUUGGGUAGCAACUCAAGGACAUAGCUCAGUGCUUGGCACAUAGUAAGUGCUCAACUAACACAGGUUUAUCAAAUUGAGUGUUAGAUAUUAUCUUGCAACAGAGCUGUGCUUUAUGCAGCAUUAGGAAAAGAGAAAAAAGUGAUGUGAAUUUUUUUU